UACGUAGGGUGCAAGCGUUGCCCGGAAUUAUUGGGCGUAAAGAGCUCGUAGGCGGUUUGUCGCGUCUGCUGUGAAAACUCGGGGCUUAACCCCGGGCCUGCAGUGGGUACGGGCAGACUAGAGUGCGGUAGGGGAGACUGGAAUUCCUGGUGUAGCGGUGAAAUGCGCAGAUAUCAGGAGGAACACCGAUGGCGAAGGCAGGUCUCUGGGCCACUACUGACGCUGAGAAGCGAAAGCAUGGGGAGCGAACAGG
rnacentral:rRNA from 1 species